UCAUUGUUUAUAGUUUUAACGCAAGCAGUAUCAUUUUUAAGCGUUAGUCUAUGGUUAUUUUAGAUCUUGCCUAGUCCAUUACGGGUAUAAGGGGUGUCAAGAGAUUGUGUCAUCGCUUGUGUUGUGCCCUUUGACUUGCUUGGCCCCUUGUGUUGAUUGGUUCUUUUAAAACACUAAACAUUACUUGCACGUCAGCCAUUGCACUUCACUUCAAUCCGAUCGCAGUUCAGAGCAUAAAACAACUAACACGUCCGAUCUAAAGGGUGUCUGUCAAUAAAGAAUAGAUCUCACAACCCGUAA